rnacentral:rRNA from 1 species
CUCGUAGGUGGCCAACUAAGUCAGACGUGAAAUCCCUCGGCUUAACCGGGGAACUGCGUCUGAUACUGGAUGGCUUGAGUUUGGGAGAGGGACGCGGAAUUCCAGGCGUAGCGGUGAAAUGCGUAGAUAUCUGGAGGAACACCGGUGGCGAAGGCGGCGUCCUGGACCAACACUGACACUGAUGAGCGAAAGCCAGGGGAGCAAACG